UUUUUUAGGGAGAAUUUGGCCUCCCAACAAGGGGAGGCCAGGAAACUUUCCU
rfam:HIV-1 isolate ML672-3-1997 from Kenya, complete genome.